rnacentral:rRNA from 1 species
UACAGAGGUCCCAAGCGUUGUUCGGAUUCAUUGGGCGUAAAGGGUGUGUAGGUGGCGCCGUAAGUCGGGUGUGAAAUCUCGGGGCUUAACUCCGAAACUGCAUUCGAUACUGCGGUGCUUGAGGACUGGAGAGGAGACUGGAAUUCAUGGUGUAGCGGUGAAAUGCGCAGAUAUCGGGAGGAACACCGGUGGCGAAGGCGGUUCUCUGGGCCUUACCUGACGCUGAGGAGCGAAAGCGUGGGGAGCGAACAGG